AGGUUUCUGGUUCAGUUUCCGUACAGUCAUGCUGACUUGGGAAUCUAAACCGGCUGCCCGUGUCUCUGAGGCCCUCGGAGAUGCUGUGUGUUUUUUUCUCACCACAGUGAUGCUGUGUCCUCUCAGUGCACCACAUCGAGGGUACCUGGUAUCCGCAUGUCUUCUCACGGGGGACGGUGACUUCCGUCUUGAAUAGAGUGGUGGUGUCUGCCAGGUUUUCCACUUGAGAGUGACUACUGUCCUACUGGAACCAAUCCACCGGAUGUGAUGCAAAUCUCCCAUUAGCUGCCGGUAUCCAACAGCUGUUCACACCGACCGUUCGCAGCUCAUCAUGCUGCCCUUCGUACAGCACACGAGUGUCUCUUCACCGCCUGGCCUUGUCUUGUUCCCAGUGUCACUAUUCACACAUGUAAACAUUCGGUGAACGAGCUCAUUCUGAUUCUAAACCCAGUUUCUGGGGGUGCCUGGGGGGCUCAGUGGGUUAAAGCCUCUGCCUUCGGCUCAGGUCAUGAUCCCAGGGUCCUG